AGUGAACGCUGGCGGUAGGCCUAACACAUGCAAGUCGAACGGCAGCACAGUAAGUGCUUGCUCUUACGGGUGGCGAGUGGCGUACGGGUGAGGUAUACAUCCGACUCUACUCUUUCGUGGGGGAUAACGUAGGUAAACUUACGAUAAUACCGCAUACCAUCUACGGGUGAAGGCAGGGGAUCUUCGGGCCUUGCGCGAUUGAAUGCGCGGGUGUCGGAUUAGUUAGUUGGCGGGGUAAAGGCCCACCAAGGCGACGAUCCGUAGCCGGUGUGAGUGAAUGAUCGGCCACACUGGAACGGAGACGCGGACCAGACGACUGAGGGAGGCAGCAGUGGGGAAUAGUGGACAGUGGGCGGAAGCCUGGUCCAACCAGACCGCGUGUGUGAAGAAGGCCUUGCGGUUGUAAAGCCCUUUUGUGGGGAAAGAAAAGCAGCAGGUUAAUACCCCGCGGUUCUGACGGUACCCAGAAAAGAAGCACCGGCUAACUACGUG
rnacentral:rRNA from 1 species